rnacentral:tRNA from 1 species
GCGCAGAUAGCUCAGUUGGUAGAGCACGUGGCUGAUAACCGCGAGGUCGGAGGUUCGAAUCCUUCUCGGCGCACCA